rnacentral:tRNA from 1 species
UAUAUUAUAGUGUAAUAUGCACAAUAAUUUUUGGAAUUAUUAGUUAUAGAGUGGUUUAUAUAAUAUAG